UACGGGGGGGGCAAGCGUUGUUCGGAAUUACUGGGCGUAAAGGGCUCGUAGGUGGCCAACUAAGUCAGACGUGAAAUCCCUCAGCUUAACUGGGGAACUGCGCCUGAUACUGGAUGGCUUGAGUUUGGGAGAGGGAUGCGGAAUUCCAGGUGUAGCGGUGAAAUGCGUAGAUAUCUGGAGGAACACCGGUGGCGAAGGCGGCAUCCUGGACCAACACUGACACUGAGGAGCGAAAGCCAGGGGAGCAAACGGG
rnacentral:rRNA from 1 species